UACGUAGGGUGCGAGCGUUAAUCGGAAUUACUGGGCGUAAAGCGUGCGUAGGCGGUUCGUUAAGUUCGUUGUGAAAGCCCCGGGCUCAACCUGGGAAUGGCAAUGGAAACUGGCGGGCUGGAGUAUGGCAGAGGGGGGUGGAAUUCCGCGUGUAGCAGUGAAAUGCGUAGAGAUGCGGAGGAACACCGAUGGCGAAGGCAGCCCCCUGGGCCAACACUGACGCUGAUGUGCGAAAGCUAGGGGAGCAAACGGG
rnacentral:rRNA from 1 species